rnacentral:sRNA from 1 species
UAAAGAAACAAUCGACUCGUGCCUCGGC